AGGGGAUGGCGAAGGCAACGCAGUGAGCGGGCAACCUCUCUGUCCAAUUUUUCUUUUUUAAUUGAAAAAAAGAAAAAACACGUUUUCUUCAUUCCUUGUUAGCUAUGAGCCAUUGACCAAUCCAACAAAUCCAAAUCGAAAUAUACCAGCAACUGCAGCUGCUUCCUUAACCUCCAAUUCCAUAAUAACUAUCUAAUUUAUAUUUCUAUUGCUCAAUCUCCUACCAUGGUAUCUCAUCCUCAUUUUUAUACUUAUAUACGAGGUAGGUUGAAACUGAUUAAAGAAAAAACAAUGAAAACUUACAAAAUUUAGCUCCACCAUAAUAGAUUAGAUAUAAAAUCAUAUAUAUAUAUAGUAUAGAUAUAAAGUGAAGAUGAAAUUAGGAUCUAGACACGUAGGGUUGUGCAGAAAGCAGAAAGCGAAGAUGAUCAUUCCAGUGCGUUGCUUCACUUGCGGAAAGGUGAUUGGAAACAAGUGGGAUCGUUAACUUGAUCUUCUACAGGCCGAUUAUUUAGAAGGGGAUGCACUUGAUGCACUGGAUCUGGUUCGCUACUGCUGUAGACGAAUGCUCAUGACUCAUGUUGACCUUUUCUGCUUGUUCAUGUGCUGUGAUGUGAAGGAGUCGGUAUUGGCGUUUACUUAAAGAGAAGAUUCAGCGCAUGACUCGAGUUGAGCAGAUUUAUACGAACAUCUUUCAAGUGUUUACUAGUUUUUAGGAGUUACAUAUCAGAACUGCGUACUAUCAUAAUGUUGAAAGUUCGUUAGAAAGAAAGGAUGUAGUUAGUAUGCUGGAAGGAUUUCCGUUCUCGUAACUAAUUGCCUUUGUGAAAUGCUCUGUCUAUACCUGCACUAUCGAUAACAAAUUAAUACAACUAUCAUCAGAUGUUUAUAUA